AUUGAACGCUGGCGGCAGGCCUAACACAUGCAAGUCGAACGAGUGGCGGACGGGUGAGUAAGGUCUGGGAAACUGCCUGAUGGACGGGGCUAACUAAUGGAAACGGUAGCUAAUAACGCAUACGACACGAUGUGCACAGAUGGGAUUAGGUUGUGGGUGGGGUAACGGCUCACCGAGGCGACGAUCCCUAGCUGGUCUGAGAGGAUGACCGGCCACACUGGAACUGAGACACGGUCCAGACUCCUACGGGAGGCAGCAGUGGGGAAUAUUGGACAAUGGGCGCAAGCCUGAGGCAGCCAUGCCGCGUGAAUGAAGAAGGCCUUCGGUUUGUAAAGUACUUUCAGCGGGGAGGCGUUACCCUCAGAAGAAGCACCGGCUAACUCCGUGCCAGCAGCCGCGGUAAUUC
rnacentral:rRNA from 1 species